rnacentral:rRNA from 1 species
AUUGAACGCUGGCGGCAUGCCUUACACAUGCAAGUCGAACGGCAGCACGGGAGCUUGCUCCUGGUGGCGAGUGGCGAACGGGUGAGUAAUACAUCGGAACGUACCCUGAAGUGGGGGAUAACGUAGCGAAAGUUACGCUAAUACCGCAUAUUCUGUGAGCAGGAAAGAGGGGGAUCGCAAGACCUCUUGCUUUAGGAGCGGCCGAUGUCGGAUUAGCUAGUUGGUGAGGUAAAGGCUCACCAAGGCGACGAUCCGUAGCGGGUCUGAGAGGAUGAUCCGCCACACUGGGACUGAGACACGGCCCAGACUCCUACGGGAGGCAGCAGUGGGGAAUUUUGGACAAUGGGCGCAAGCCUGAUCCAGCCAUGCCGCGUGAGUGAAGAAGGCCUUCGGUUGUAAGCUCUUCGGUGGGGUAAGGAAAGUUAGCAC